AUGACCGCCGGCUCCCGACGGAGGCCCCCGCCGCCCCGCCGCCGCGCCUCCCCCAUGGCGCCUUCCCCCCUCUCCGUAUCCUCCACCAACCCCUCCCCGCCGUCCUCGCGCCGCGUCCGCCGCACGGCCGUCGCGGCCGCGGGCGCCGCGCUCGCGACGCUCCUCCUCCUCGCCGCGGCUGCCGCCGUCUGGCGCCCGGCCUACCUCCCCGCGGCGCUCCUCCGCCGGCCGCCGCUCGCCGCCGCCCGGUUCUACUCCUUCGACCUGGUCCGCGAGUACCCGCACGACCCCGCGGCCUUCACCCAGGGCCUCCUGUACGGGGGAAACGACACUCUCUACGAGUCCACUGGCCUUUACCACCAGUCGUCGGUCCGGAAGGUUGAUCUUCAAACAGGAAAAGUUUUAGAGCAGCACCAAAUGGAUGGAUGGAUGUUUGGAGAAGGCCUAACACUUCUAGGCGACAGAUUGUUUCAAGUUACUUGGCGGAAGAAUGAUGGAUUCAUAUAUGACCGGCAUAACUUUAGCAAACGUGAGAGUUUUACCCAUAAAAUGCGUGACGGGUGGGGGUUGGCUACUGAUGGAAAAAUUCUAUUUGGCAGUGAUGGUACCUCAAGGUUGUACCAGCUGGAUCCAAUAUCACUUGAAGUGACAAAGACAGUAACUGUGAAAUAUCAAGACAAGGAAGUUUCCUUUAUUAAUGAACUGGAGUAUAUAAAUGGUGAAGUAUGGGCAAAUGUCUGGCAGACAGAUUGCAUAGCUAGAGUUUCCCAUGAAGAUGGCCAAGUGGUGAGCUGGAUCUUUCUUCACGAGCUGAGGCAGCAAUUGUGGAAUUCUGGAAACACGGCCAUUGAUGUUCUAAACGGUAUAGCUUGGGACGAAGAAAAUAACAGAUUGUUUGUGACCGGGAAAUUGUGGCCGAAGCUCUACGAGAUCAAGCUGCGCCCGGUCGAUGGGCCACCAGACGGGUCUGUGGAGAGGCUGUGCCCAAGGGCAAGCUUUUAUUGA
rnacentral:rRNA from 1 species